rnacentral:rRNA from 1 species
UACGAAGGGUCCAAGCGUUGUUCGGAAUCAUUGGGCGUAAAGCGCGCGCAGGCGGAUUAAUAAGUCAGGUGUGAAAUCUCGGAGCUCAACUCCGAAACUGCGCCUGAAACUAUUAGUCUAGAAUGUCGGAGGGGGCAGGGGAAUUUCACGUGUAGGGGUAAAAUCCGUAGAGAUGUGAAGGAACACCGGGGGCGAAGGCGACUUACUGGACACAUAUUGACGCUGAGGUGCGAAAGCGUGGGGAGCAAACAGG